CAAAUAAUCCCUCCGUCCGGAAAUACUUGUCAUCAAAAUGGAUAAAAGGAAAUGUAUCUAGACGUGUUUUAGUUUUAGAUACAUAUCUUUUUAUCCAUUUUGAUGACACGUAUUUUUGGACAGAGGGAGUAUUUA
rnacentral:pre_miRNA from 1 species